rfam:Actinomadura sp. CNT-125 NODE_179_length_17568_cov_44.2581_ID_12155, whole genome shotgun sequence.
CGAACCCGGUAGUUAAGCCUCUCAGCGCCGAUGGUACUGCAUGGGAGACUGUGUGGGAGAGUAGGACGCCGCCGGAC